rnacentral:hammerhead_ribozyme from 1 species
GUCCAGACGAAGAGUCCUAAAUAGGACAAAAUGCGUAUCUUGGAU